UAACCAGAAACCCCCAGGAUGAGGAAUUCUGGGAAGUGUAGUUAAGCCUCACUGACUUGGGACCUCAGAGCCACCACACCUGAUACGUAGCCCUCGGACUUAUUCUUAUGACAGAAGUCGCUGAUUAAAUGAGUUCUCACGAAAGUGAGAUUGAAUGUAAUCGUUUCUGUGGAUGUUUUGUUGCAAGCCAAUUAGCCAAAGCACUACUUCUGUGAUGGUGACAUCCUAAAAAUGUGCACGUGGCAAAAGAGGUAAGGCUUGUUGAACACCCACUUGUUUUCAAAAUGUGUCUCAUUUAAUCUGCAAGAUAAUUUUGGAGGCAGGAAGUUUAUCAGACCUCUCUGACAUAUGAGGAGAUUGGGGCUCAUGGCCUCUAUGUCUCCCCCUAGGCAGGCUGGAGGUCCAGAGGGAAGUGAAGAUUUAUCUUCAUUAUAUGGAGAAGAGCAGAAGGGCUGGCUCCUGGUCUGGAAGGUGGCCCCACAGAAGAAUGAAAGUACUUUCCGAUGUCACUGAUGGCGGCUUUCGCCAGAAGAAUGAGGUGUGCCAUGAUGUACUGGUUCUGAGCAGAGGCCUCAAGAGGACCCUGGUUUUUGGGCUUAUUCUCUUGUGCUUCUGCUGAUACCACAAGAAGGCAAUGGCCAGGCCAGCAUCCUGGCCGGAAGAGAAGAAGAGAGUCAUGUGGGGUUGAUAUAAGCUGCUCCUGCCAAGUUCACCAGAUUAGCUUCCCCCACAGAUGCCCAGCCCAGCCCAGCCCACCCUGGAUCAGCCAACCCUCAGUUGGCCCAGAUUCAUAGGUCCAGUAGGUAUUUAUCAUGCUGAAGCUUCGUGGGUAUUGGUAUGCAGCAUGAUUGUGGCCAUAGUUAGCUGAUGGGGCCAUGGGACUCCGUUGGAUGGUCAGGAGGGGCUUCUUAAUGUUGUGACUCAUCAAGUAUCAAGCAGUACUGGACCAUUUUUGACCUCCCUCUGCCCCCAAAGCAGGGCAAAGCUGCUUCUAGAGACUUACCAUGUGGUGAAGCAGAAGAGGAACAAGGCCUAAAGAUAAGCUUUGAAGGAGGCAGAGAUGGGGCCUGGCCCAGCAUGCUCCAUUCCUCCUCCCCAGGGUUCAAUCAGCUAAAGGGAGUCUUCCCCGUGGAGGAGUGAGGUCUGGGAGUGACUCUGGCUGUAGUCUUUUCAGCAGGAAACUAUGGCCAGGCAUACAGAGAAGACUUUGGGGUGCCCUGAGGAAAGGAAACCUACUAAAUUCUGUUUUCCUUGGGGAUUUCCUACCUUCCUGAGUCCACUUAGUCACAUGCCAAGGAACUAGACUCUUUGAGCCCGGUGCCAAGGCUUGUCUCGUGGAGAGGAGGGAGUUCAGGGGCUCAAAGUGACCGGCCCUACGGAAGGUGACUUCUACCCCCUCCAACCCAGUCUUGGGCCUUCCACUCUGUUCUGUCCCAGAAACCAUCCUAGUCACCAUAUACUACCCACUGGCCCCCUGAGGUUCCUGUAGUGGCCCAAUCAUUGCUAACGGUUGACCCAGCUGGCUUGAGAGAUCUGGGCCCUCCCUGUGUACCUGCCAGGGCCACCUCCUAGGGCUCAGAGUGCCAGCUCGUGGCCGCUCCCGGGGGGCCCCUGUGUUCGAGGCUGGCUGCUGGGUAUCGUGGGGCUCCACCUGCCUGCCCUUUCUCCUUUCGCCAGCACCAGAGCACAGGGGCUUAUCAUCUUCCCUGCCCCCAACCCUGACUCAAAAGUGCUCACCAAAAUACCCAUUAGAGAAGGAAUCCUGACCUGAGGAUUGCCCGGGAAGCUACCGGGAUCUGGUACACAUGGCUUUCGGCAAACCAACUUAGAUUUUCACAUCAGCUCACUGGAAGAACAGCCCAAUAUGCACUGUAAAUCGUCAAACCCUGCCCUCCCCUCACCCCCAGAGACAACAAGCAAGCAGCCAGUAAAUGCCUUAGCAUUCACCAUUUCUUGGCGGAGGCGGGACAGUCAAUUCUGACACUGUUGUGAAAAAAUACAGCCUAGUUUCUGUUCAAAUGCACCAAAUUUACUGCCCAGGUUCUCAUUAACUACUGUCAAGGAAGAAGCAGACAGACAAAAUAAAUUAUGAAAAAAUUACUUUUUUAAUGUACA
rnacentral:lncRNA from 12 species